GCCCAGAUAGCUCAGUUGGGAGAGCGCCAGAUUGAAGAUAUGGAGGUCCUCAGUACGAUCCUGAGUCUGGGUA
rnacentral:tRNA from 1 species